rnacentral:lncRNA from 1 species
CAGAGAUGCAGCUUCUUUUCGCAUCUCACACUCCCUGAGGGAAAAUGGCUGUGUAAGCCAAAGAGGGGCUGCCCUGAAAUGCAGUCUACAGAUGAAUCACUUCCUAAACAGGGCCAAGGAAAAGAUUAGGAUUUGGUUCUUUAUCCUCGGAGAAGCCUGGCCAAACAGCCCGAGACCCCUAGACACAAAACUGAAUGCAGAAGACACGAGCCAGUACAAAACAAUUGCAUUGCCACUUGCCAAAACGUCUGUCUGGC